AAGCUUGCUGGAGGUAUCAGAAGUGCGAAUGCUGACAUGAGUAACGACAAUGGGUGUGAAAAGCACCCACGCCGAAAGACCAAGGGUUCCUGCGCAACGUUAAUCGACGCAGGGUUAGUCGGUUCCUAAGGCGAGGCUGAAAAGCGUAGUCGAUGGGAAACAGGUUAAUAUUCCUGUACUUCUGGUUACUGCGAUGGAGGGGCGGAGGAGGCUAGGGCCGCUUGGCCGUGGGUGGCCAAGUUUAAGGUGGUAGGCUGAAAUCUUAGGUAAAUCCGGGUUUUCAAGGCCGAGAGGUGAUGACGAGUCGUCUUUUAGAUGACGAAGUGGUUGAUGCCAUGCUUCCAAGAAAAGCUU
rnacentral:rRNA from 1 species